CCCAGAUGUGAGCUUCCCCAGUUUCACGUCAAAGUUGUCUUUCCAUUCGACGAACUUCGAAUACCUGUUACAGGACAAACCAAAUACUUUGUUCAAAGGAGAAUAUUCAAAGAGCAAAGAUCCUGAAACAACAGAGAAAAAAAGAACCUGAUGAUAGCACAAGUGUGGAAAAACAAUAAAAGCUCAUGGAAAAGAGAGGACUCCCUAAAAUCUUAAACAUCUCAUACAUUAGAGCAUCAAAUUCGGCUGGACUGCUAAAUUGCUCUUUGAGAUGGAGUUUCAUGAUAUUACAAUGGACUAGAGAUUGCACUUUUUCUAACGGAAAAACCAUCCAGAAAUUAUGGCGCUUUAAAUAAGUUUCAAUCCCCCCCCCCCUUUCUUUCUCAAACCACACUUGCAAUGCAACUUGAAACACUUUCUUGGUGGUUAUGUUGCGCUGGACAGAUCACUCCUCCAAUUUCCAUAGCUGUACUUAAAAUCCUAAGUAUCUAGCAACUUGAUUGUUGAAAUUCAAGAUGACAUGACAAGACAUCGAAAAUUGAUCUAUUACACGGCACAGAUAGACAGAUGUACAGUUUUCUCCUGUCGAGAAAGUACAAUAAUAUUUCAACGAUCCGACUGCAUAGGAAGAAUCCCUAGUUUUCUGCUUAAAAGGCAUCUGUGAUGCAGACAUCGACCUUUUCCCCCUAGCCAGUGCAAUGUAAUAUCUUGAUUGCCCAAAAAACAGUUAGGUGGCAUACCACCAUUUUAAGAUUUUUAAUUUUUAACUUCUUGAAGCAUACUUUCAAAAUAAAACAAAUUAGUUGUUUUCGUCUCUUC